AGUCUAAAGUAGGAGGGAAAUUGGCACUAUUCAUAUGAAUAGUGAUUUGGACCACAUUUCAGUUUAUUUUCAAAAUUGCCACUCGGCUGCUUUUACCCAACUUUCUCAAUAUUUACAAAAAUACCACCCAGCCUUAAAACCCGAUUUCCACCCUCUGCAUCUCAAGGUUUGACUCGGGGACAGAGAGGGGAGGGGGACAAACCGGCUGACAAAUUGGAGAGAGACGAUGGCUCCCCAUUUUCACUCGGAGACAGCUGGGUCUCACUGUGCGGAGAGGAGAGGAAGGGGACAGAGGGAGUGGAGAGGAUGGGGAUAGAGAGACUGACAGAUUGGAUAGAUACGGGAGCUACGGGUUUCCACUGACUGACAGAGAGAUUUAGCUAGGUCUUCUGCCAGGAUCCUUGGGAUUUUCUGCGAUUUUAGAGAAGGAUGAACAGGGAGAGAGAUACAUAACGAAAAGCAUGCGUAUGUGCAUUCGUUAGGGUCAAGGGCUUACGCACAGAGUCGGUGAUGAGGGGAUGGGCGAGGGAGGAAUGGCAGGGUCUGCGUUUUCAUCUUUCUCCCUUCAUUCAAAAGGUCAUGAACUCUUUUAGAUUAAUUGUUUUGUUUCUGAUUUGCCAUUUGCUUUGUUAAAAUUGCCAUUCAUAUUUGGUUUUUUCAUUCAAAUUGCAAUGCAUGUUAAUAAUUUGUUCGGUUGGGUGCUAGGAUUAAGUCUCUGUUUUUGUAAAUUAGGCCUUUGCACCGAUAUAAUUUCUUUGUUUCUCCAUCAAUUUGUGUAUAAUUCAUCAUUUUUCAGUUUAAAAAUUGUUACAGAUUUUAUGUUCCUUCAUUAAAAUUGUCAUAGAUCUUUGUAGAUUGUUUAGGUCACCUUAGAUUCACUUUAUUUCAGUUUAUUUUUUUUAAUUGUUGUUCACUGUUUGAUUUGCCAUUCCAUUUAUUAAAAUUGUCAUAGAUAUUUUUUCCUUCAUUAAUGCUGUCAUAGAUAUUUUAUAUUGUUUAGUUAACUAUUAGGGUUUCCUCUUUGUCUUUUGUAGGUUGUUUAGUUCAGCUCUAGGGUUAGCUGGAUGUUAAAACUUAUCCUACAACCUAAUCCAUUGUUCUAAUAACCAUAAUGUAGAUUAAUUUGGGAUGCUCCACUACCCAUAGGCAGUAAGCUGUUAAGUAUAUCAAUAUUUGCAUAAGAUGAACCAACAUUUGACAAGUAUAAGCAGCUGGACCAACACAAACGGAAAACACCUAAAUUUACAGCAAGAUUAAUGGUUGACCGAAAAAUUAAAAAAUUAAGUAAAAAAAACGUAAAUUUAUACAGUUUUUUGUUUGAAAUUAUAUGUUCACUGUUUGAUUUACCAUUCCCUUUCCUUUAUUAAAGCUGUCAUAGAUAUUUCAAAAUUUGUUUGCUUAACUAUUAGACUUUACUCUUAGUCUUUCUAAAUUAGGAGGCUACACUGUUUAUAUUUGUGUUUUUCAGAAUUUUUUCCCUUUGCUUAUGAGGGAACAAAAUUAAGCCUACUUUUUAAGUUUAUUGUUUUUAAAUUAGGGUGUCUAGCCUGUUUAGUUCACUGUUAGGUUGAUAUUUCUGUAUUUAUAAACAAAGGGGUUGCACUGUGCUCAUUUAUGUGUUUUUUCAUACUUUCCUACUAUUUACUAAUCAACAAAUCAACUUCAGCUUCCUUUUCCACUUCACAUCAUUCUAAUAUCCAUAUGUUGCUAGGUUGUUUUCCGUUUCUUGCUUCUUUUAUAUUUCUGAGAUAAACUUUUGAUUUGAUUCUUGAUAUGCAUGUAGAUCCAACACAACUAUACACAUCAAACCAUCCAUUCACACAACAGCCACCAAACAAACCAUUAGUGAGCUCAAACAUACAUACUUUUUUCAGAAACAAAGAGUAUCAACCACUGGAAUCUGGAUUUCCUAGCAGCAGGGAGUGCUGAUGUAUCUGAGAACCAUCAUCUUUUCCUUAUUCCGCUUCUCCCUGUGCAUUCCAGUUUGACUGUCUGUCAUAAAAAAGGUCAGUUCAUCUAAAUUCAGCAAUUGACUCUCAGACUCUCAAUCUGAUUUCGUCUCCUUCUGCUGAUCUCCUCCAUUCCCCUCUUCUCUUUUUGUUCCGUAAAUUUAGUCAACUAAUUCGAUUAUUCAUUUUUUCUGAUAGAACAUUUGCGGCUCCACGAAAUAUUCAGUUUUUGC